UCCCUCACGCGGCGUUCGCAUGCAUCAGAGCUUUCGCCCACUUGUGCAAUAUUCCCCACUGCCUGCCUCCCGUAGGAGUCUGGGCCGUGUUCUCAGUCCCAGUGUGGCCGGUCGCCCUCUCAGGCCGGCUACCCGUCGUCGCCUUGGUGAGCCACUACCUCACCAACAAGCUGAUAGGCCGCGGGCUCAUCCUGCACCGCCGGAGCUUUACACCAUCCACCAUGCGGCAGACGGUCAUAUCCGGUAUUAGACCCCGUUUCCAGGGCUUGUCCCAGAGUGCAGGGCAGAUUGCCCACGUGUUACUCACCCGUUCGCCACUAAUCCCCGCCCGAAAGCGGUUCAUCGUUCGACUUGCAUGUGUUAAGCACGCCGCCAGCGUUCGUCCUGAGCCAGGAUCAAACU
rnacentral:rRNA from 1 species